rnacentral:lncRNA from 1 species
AUGACGGGUGUGCUGAAGAGAGACCACUGGCCUUGUGGGAUUGGCUGUAUGCGAGAGUCCACAGGAGAGGCUAAGAAUAUUGUAUACAAAGAUUUUUUUAUGUUCUUGAGCAAAUCCCUAAAAAUGUAGCAUAUAGAAAGUAUACAGAACAGAUUACAAAUGAGACACUGGCUAUGGUUAAAGCAGAACCAGAUGUUAAAAAAUUAGAAGACAAGACCAACUUCAAGGUGGUCAAAUAGAAGAGGCGAUUCUGCAGGCUAAAAAUGAACUAAGUCUGGCAAGAAAAAUGAUGCAGUGGAAACCAUGGGAGAGACUCCUGCCAAUCAGUGGAAAUGGCCAAUAUAA